GGCUGUAAUAGAGCGUUUGACUACGAAUCAAAAGGUCGCAGGUUCGAAUCCUGC
rnacentral:tRNA from 1 species